UGUCCAAUAUGGGUAUGGAGUCUGAAAAACUCAGAAAUUUUGUGUUGUCAUCAGCUUCUUCUCGCCAACUUUAGGGGACUGGAGUUAAAUAACAGCACGAAAUUU